GACUAGUACCGUGAGGGAAAGGUGAAAAGAACCCCGGGAGGGGAGUGAAAUAGAUCCUGAAACCGUGUGCUUACAAUCCGUCGGAGCCUCUGUGUGGGGUGACGGCGUGCCUUUUGAAGAAUGAGCCUGCGAGUUAGUGCUCAGUGGCGAGGUUAACCCGUGUGGGGUAGCCGUAGCGAAAGCGAGUCCGAAUAGGGCGUUUGAGUCGCUGGGUCUAGACCCGAAGCGGAGUGAUCUACCCAUGGCCAGGUUGAAGCGCCGGUAAGACGGCGUGGAGGACCGAACCCACUUAGGUUGAAAACUGAGGGGAUGAGCUGUGGGUAGGGGUGAAAGGCCAAUCAAACUCCGUGAUAGCUGGUUCUCCCCGAAAUGCAUUUAGGUGCAGCGUCGCGUGUUUCUUGCCGGAGGUAGAGCUACUGGAUGGCUGAUGGGCCCCACCGGGUUACUGACGUCAACCAAACUCCGAAUGCCGGUAAGUGAGAGCGUGGCAGUGAGACUGCGGGGGAUAAGCU
rnacentral:rRNA from 1 species